GCCUAGACUGAACAAGGGCUUGGCGGGGGCGAUGGUUUUGCGUGCAGCAUUUGUUGCUGGCGACUGAGAGAGUUGUCCGAGAAGAGGGAAUCGUUGCCGUCGGUGACAGUACAAUUGCCUUUAUGUCAAUCUGUUUUGCUUCUUCAUGAUAGUUCAGUAAACUUAUCUGCCUCUCCCGUCCAGGACCCAACGCCGCCUGCCGGUGGAAAGGAGGCUCGCUUCCAUUUCCUGUGCUAAAAUUUUGCCCAACCAAACGGGUCCUAACUCUGUGAGCUGUUCUCCUUGGAGGUGCUUUCGAAUGAUUUCAUCUAAAGAAAAUGCAUUUUGGGGAUGGAUUUUUAUAUCACUUGGCUCUAUAUUCUUUGUUGGGUACUUCUUUGCUGCAAUUAUUUCCAAGCUUCUCCCACCUUCAAAUAUAGCGAUAGUAUCUGCCAUGCAAAAUGACUGGUAUUACUGCUUCUUGGUGCCGUUGACUCUGCCUAUGGUUGUGGUUGCUGUAUACUUUCAUUGGCUCAGCAUGAAGAUGUUCAAGCAUGCUUAACGUCUAAUUAUUUAUCCGAUCAUUAUUUGGAGUGGAGGCACGCAGGAUUUCUUUCUGCUUCAAAACUGACAUUUAAUUUGGUCCCUAUAAAUAUAAUUAACACUUGUUCCCUAAUCAUGUCCUAUGUUUCAAAAGCCUAUAAAUUUAUCCUCAUGGUUAUCUUUCUUUUUCUUUUCCUUUUUCUUUUUUUUUUUUCUUGUGUGGCGCCAAUCCUUAUUGUAUAUGAAAUAGUAAUAAUUAUCUGAAGAUUGAACAUCA